rnacentral:rRNA from 1 species
GCUUGUCUCAAAGAUUAAGCCAUGCAUGUCUAAGUAUAAACGACUUUAUACAGUGAAACUGCGAAUGGCUCAUUAAAUCAGUUAUAGUUUAUUUGAUAAUACCUUACUACUUGGAUAACCGUGGUAAUUCUAGAGCUAAUACAUGCUACACAACCCGACUUCUGGAAGGGUGGUACUGAUUAGAUACAAACCAAUGCCCUUCGGGGCUCCUUGGUGAUUCAUGAUAACUAUACGAAUCGCACGGCCUUGCGCCGGCGAUGGUUCAUUCAAAUUUCUUCCCUAUCAACUUUCGAUGUUUGGGUAUUGGCCAAACAUGGUUGCAACGGGUAACGGAGGGUUAGGGCUCGACCCCGGAGAAGGAGCCUGAGAAACGGCUACUACAUCCAAGGAAGGCAGCAGG